GUUGAGAAAGCUGGAGGGCAGGGAAAUGGGCCGAGUCCUGCAUCAUCCACCGAGUGGGGGCUGUGGAUAGGUGCGGCGCUGCUUCCCUGGGGAGAAACGCUCCAUCUUGCGGGCCGAAGCGCGAGUGCUGCUCUGUGACAGCCUCCGGCCGCGGCCUUCCCAGCUGCUACCGCCGCUUUUCGGAUGGGCUGUGAUAGAUGGAGUAGCAGCGAAGACUGCUAGAAGAGCGUUUUCAGUCGGCCUUUAGUGAUUCGUAAAACCAAAUUAGCUGGUUUCUACUUGGAAGGGGUACAGAAGAUCAAACUCUCCCAAAAAGUAGAGAUUAAACAACAACUAAAGAUGGCGAAUCAUAGAAGUUACCACCAUUCCUGGUAUUGGUCCCAGUUCUUCUAAGAAUAUUUUUGAUGCAAGAGCCGUUUUAUCUUGAAUCCUACAUAGCUUAUUUUCCAUUUUUCCAUUCAAAUAAAACAAGAGAACAAUAGAGUGAAGAAAAAGGAUGUUUAAGUCUAAAUCCAAGACUGAGGUACAAGACCAAGAAAAGUGGGGCAGAAGAUGGAAAAGAACAAGCGAAGAAUCUUGGAAACAAUUCAAAGGCACGUUGGAUUCUUUGCUUGUAAUAAGAAGUGCAAGUUGGUGUUACUUCUUAAGGUCUAAUGUUAAAAUUUCUUGAAUCUGAUCUUUAUCAUAUGCAUAUUUUUUCAUCCUUGGAUAGUUAGACUUUUUUUAAUAUGUCAAGAACUCAUCUAUAUUUUUAUCUAUAUUUAUUCUACAUAAAUCGAUAAAUCAAGAUGUAAUAUAAAAAAAGUUGAUAGAAAACUUUAGUUUUAGAAACUUUAUUUUUAAAAACAGCUCAAAAUUGCCUUCAUCAUAUUACUGAUUUAAAUAUUACGAAAAAUAUUAAACAUUCACAAAAGUAUUACAAAAAGACUAGCAUAAUGAACCCUCAUACGUGUACCACCCAGAUUUGAAAAUUAUUGGAAUUUUGUCAUAUAGGCUUUAGCUACCCUUAUUUUCUUUCUUUUUGUUGCUAAAGUAUUUUAAAGCCCCUCCAGGACCUCAUGGGACUUUAUCCUACAUACUUGUAAUUCUACUGAUUUUUAAUUAAAUUAUUGAUUAAGUAGUUAACAGAAAACAGGAUAUUACAGGAAGCAUCUAGUGGGGUGCAGAGUCUAGCAAUUAAUCUUUUCUCAUUUAAUCAAAGACAGCAGCAGGGCUCUAGUAAAAUCAAUUAUGUUUAGAAAUGGAAAUUUUUAAAAAUUCAAAAACAAGGAAGCAUUUUAAGUAUUCUUACAGCCUUUACUUCUGUUUUCCUUCCUCUUGACAUAUUCCCCAUUAACAACUGGCUACUUCUUAUCUCUUUUGCCCCUCAGUGUAACAAGGAUUUAUGUAAAUCAUACAUCUUAACUCAGCAAGAAAUUGGCAGGGUCCUAAGACAUAGUUCCAAGUAAAUUUUAUUUUUAUAGUAAAAUCCUGGCCCUUCUGUCUGGGAGACCUUUCUAGUCCUUUACAUGUCAGCACUACCACUUAUGCUAAUAUUAUAAUUGUGUAUUUAUCAGUAUUUUAACAUAAUUUUUCUUAGUUUUACCUGAAAAAGGAGACUAAGAAAUAAAAUGCCUAAUGCUGAUGAAGGUAUAUAUUAUGGAUAUUUUAAUGUAUUUCUGGUGGGAGUAUAUAUAUUUGAACCAAAACCAGUUUGACAAUAAUACUUGAGUACCAAGUUUCAAUAUUUGGUAUCUUAAAUUUUGUUAACUUGUUUAUAAUUAAACAGGAU